UUCUGGCUCAGGAUGAACGCUGGCGGCGUGCUUAACACACGCAAGUCGAACGAAGCUAAGGGAGCUUGCUCCAAGCUUAGUGGCGGACGGGUGAGUAACGCGUGGGUAACCUGCCCUAUAGAGGGGGAUAACGUUCGGAAACGAACGCUAAUACCGCAUAAACCAUAAGGAGCUGCAUGGCUCUGAUGGCAAAGAUUUAUCGCUAUAGGAUGGACCUGCGUUGGAUUAGCUAGUUGGUGAGAUAACAGCUCACCAAGGCGACGAUCCAUAGCCGGCCUGAGAGGGUGAACGGCCACAUUGGGACUGAGACACGGCCCAAACUCCUACGGGAGGCAGCAGUGGGGAAUAUUGCACAAUGGGCGCAAGCCUGAUGCAAGCGACGCCGCGUGAAGGAAGAAGGUCUUCGGAUUGUAAACUUCUAUCAGCAGGGAAGAAUAAAUGACGGUACCUGACUAAGAAGCCCCGGCUAACUACGUGCCAGCAGCUGC
rnacentral:rRNA from 1 species